GGAACACUCUGACCUUACUCUUGAAGGUGGAACACUCUGACCUUACUGGUGCAUGUGGAACUCACUUACCUUACUGUUGCAGGUGGAACACUCUGACCUUACUGGUGCAGGUGGAACACACUGACCUUACUGGUGCAGGUGGAACACACUGACCUUACUGUUGCAUGUGGAACACUGACCUUACUGUUGCAGGUGGAAAACUCUGACCUUACUGGUGCAGGUAGAACACACUGACCUUGUUGUUGUAGGUGGAACACACUGACCUUACUGUUGCAGGUGGAACACUCUGACCUCACUGGUGUAGGUGGAACACUCUGACCUCACUGGUGCAGGUGGAACACACUGACCUUACUGUUGCAGGUGGAACACUCUGACCUUACUGGUGCAGGUGGAACACACUGACCUUACUGGUGCAGGUGGAACACACUGACCUUACUGGUGCAGGUGGAACACUCUGGGAAGAUGUGCAACACUGCAACAUACUCAACAACCAGUGGACCUGUGCAAGCAGGUUGGAGUUAGUGAACAAAACUGGACUGUGGGAUUCAAUUUUCUGUUGGAGUGGGAGUGAAGUAGCAGUUUUGAAGGGAUUUAGGGAAACCAAUUAGCCACACUUGAAUCCUGGAGGUGGGAGGUAUAGUGUCCGUACUCUUAAGUAUGGUGGUGGUAUCAUCCCUGUACUCUGAAGUAUGGUGGUGGUAUGGCAUCUGUACUCUGAUAGUGGUUGUGGUGGUGGUACAAUACCUACACUAUGAAGGAUGGUGGUGGUACAGUACCUACACUAAAGGAUGGUGGUGCAGUACCUGUACUCUGAAGGAUAGUGGUUAUGGUGGUAGUACAAUACCUACACCAUGAAGGAUGGUGGUGGUACAGUACCUACACUAAAGGAUGGUGGUGGUGGUACAGUACCCACACUAAAAGAUAAGAUAAGAUUUCGUUCGGAUUUUUAACCCCAGAGGGUUAGUCACCCAGGAUAACCCAAGAAAGUCAGUGUGUCAUCUAGGACUGUCUAACUUAUUUCCAUUGGGGGCCUUAAUCUUGUCCCCAGGAUGCGACCCACACCAAUCGACUAACACCCAGGUACCUAUUUGCUACUAGGUGAAC